UCCCUGGAGGACUAGUGGUUAGGCCAUGGCAUUCUCUGCUGCGGUCCGGGUUCGAGUCCCGGCCAGGGAA